rnacentral:rRNA from 1 species
AUUGAACGCUGGCGGCAGGCUUAACACAUGCAAGUCGAGCGGGAUGAUGGUGCUUGCACUAUCACUUAGCGGCGGACGGGUGAGUAAUGCUUAGGAAUCUGCCUAUUAGUGGGGGACAACAUCUCGAAAGGGAUGCUAAUGCCGCAUACGUCCUACGGGAGAAAGCAGGGGAUCACUUGUGACCUUGCGCUAAUAGAUGAGCCUAAGUCGGAUUAGCUAGUUGGUGGGGUAAAGGCCUACCAAGGCGACGAUCUGUAGCGGGUCUGAGAGGAUGAUCCGCCACACUGGGGCUGGAACACGGCCCAGACUCCUACGGGAGGCAGCAGUGGGGAAUAUUGGACAAUGGGGGGAACCCUGAUCCAGCCAUGCCGCGUGUGUGAAGAAGGCCUUAUGGUUGUAAAGCACUUUAAGCGAGGAGGAGGCUCUUUUGGUUAAUACCCAAGAUGAGUGGACGUUACUCGCAGAAUAAGCACCGGCUAACUCUGUGCCAGCCGCCGCGGUAA